UGACUGGGCCGGCCGGGAGGCCGAGGCUCUGGCGAGGCGGCUGAGGGGGGCGAAGCUGGAAGGCCGCUGCUCGCUCCUGAAACCCCGGAGAAGGGAGGGAGGGAGGGAGGGAUGGCGGAGGAGGAGGGAGGAAGCGGGCUGGCUCUCGCUCUCUCUCUCUCAGCGGCCGCUGGCUGCCCUUCAGGAAUGCGCCCUUCUCUCUCUCUCAGGGAGAUGAUGGCUGGAGUUGGAAAAGGCCUCGGAGGUUGGGGACGACGAGGCAGGAGGCGAAGGCCGCUCUCCGGAGGAGAAGCGGGGGAGGCUGAAAAAGAAUUAUUAUUAUUAUUAUUAUUAUUAUUAUUAUGCGAAGUACGCUCUGAAGAGAAGGGGGAGGCUGAAAAAGAAUUAUUAUUAUUAUUAUUAUUAUUAUUAUUAUUAUUAUGCGAAGUACGCUCUGAAGAGAAGGGGGGAGGCUGAAAAAGAAUUAUUAUUAUUAUUAUUAUUAUGCGAAGUACGCUCUGAAGAGAAGGGGGGAGGCUGAAAAAGAAUUAUUAUUAUUAUUAUUAUUAUUAUUAUUAUGCGAAGUCCGCUCUGAAGAGAAGGGGGGAGGCUGAAAAAUAAUUAUUAUUAUUAUUAUUAUUAUUAUUAUUAUUAUUAAAUCUCUGCUCUGAAGAGAAAGGGGGAGGCUGAAAAAUAAUAAUUAUUAUUAUGCGAAGUCCACUCUGAGGAGAAGGGGGGAGGCUGAAUUAUUAUUAUUAUUAUUAUUAUUAUUAUUAUGCGAAGUCCGCUCUGAAGAGAAGGGGGGAGGCUGAAAAAGAAUUAUUGUUAUUAUUAUUAUGCGAAGUCCGCUCUGAGGAGAAGGGGGGAGGCUGAAUAAUAAUAAUAAUAAUAAUAAUAAUAAUAAUAAUGUGAAGUCCGCUCUCUGGAGAAGGGGGAGACUGAAAAAGUAUUAUUAUUAUUAUUAUUAUUAUUAUUAUUAUUAUGUGAAGUCCGCUCUCUGGAGGAGGAGAAGGGGGGGGAGGCUGAAAAAGAAUUAUUAUUAUUACUAUUACUAAUAUUACUACUGUUAUGAUGCAAAUGCCGCUCUCUAGAGGAGGAGGAAAAGGGGGGGGGGCUGAAAAAGAAUUAUUAUUAGUAUUACUAAUUAUUAUUGCUGUGACUAUUCUGCCCUUUAUCUAAAGCUCCCCAGGGAAAGAACUGCCCCGAGACCUCCAGUUAUAGGGCGGUAUAUAAAUUCAAAAAAUAAUAAUGAUGGGAUGCUUCUGUCUCAAAGAAUAGUGGUCCUAAAAAGAUGGGCGAGGGCAUUCUCAGGAUACCGCCAAAGAGAGCAGCUGGCUAUUUAGCUUUAACUGAUCAACUGCGUUGCACAUAACUUGGUUCUGCCCUCCCCCCAACAUAAAGGCUGCCCCACCCCAACAAAAUCCUGUCUACUCCCAUGGUAAAGAAGAAUGCUUUCUCCUUGCACCUAUAGAUAUGUAAUGGUAGUGCCAGGUGAGUCUCUCCAUAUUUAUACACUCCGAGUUUUGCUUUGAGCCGAAGUUCAGGGCUCUGCAAGGAUGCGGCCUGCAGCUUUUGCAUUUGUUCGUAGGACUGAGCUUCUUAAAAAAGCGACAUUAUUCCCAAACAUACAGAGGCACAGCUCUCUUGUUCUCUCUCUGGAUAUUAUUUUUAUUAUGUAUUAAAUUUGUACACCACCCUUCAUCCAAAGCUCUUAGGGCAGUUUGGGGGUGGGGGUGGGGGAAUACAAGAUAAAAGCAAAAGCAAAAGAAUCCAAGGAUGCCCUUCUUUUGGACAUUUUCAUAAGAUGUGUAAGAGCUUUGAAAAUGCUUUAAAACGGAUAAGCUCGAAAGCAAUUUGAGACGCUUAAGAUAAAAUGUUAAAAUUAUUUAUUAUUUACAGAAGAAGAUGCUACCUUUCCAUUCAAAGAGAUGCUCAAGCUAGUGUACAAUCUACCGUAAAUCCUGCUAAACAAAAAAAAAAAAAUUAAAAGGCAGCAGCAGCAGCAAAGAAAAGAGGCAGCAGAUAAAAGACUUUCACGAACAAGGCAAGGGAAUGAAAAAGAACAGAUGGGCAGGUUAAGCGCCUGCCUGUCAUGUUUUUGCACAGCAGCAACAGGCUGUCAGAGAAGGGACAAAAGAGGCCUCCCAGUCUCUUGGCAGGGAGUUCCACAGUCCAAUCUUCUCAAGUAAUGGUGAGUACUGGCCCCAUUGGCAAAGCUGGAGGAGCCCGGAGAGAAAUAGACUGAGCAAGAAAACAGUGGAGGGGGGUGUCCAUGGGAUUGGGGGGGGGGGCAGAAAAAGCAGGGAGCCCAGCAUGUAUGUGGAGCCAGAGCCUCCGCCCAGUAUACUUGAAGAGGCGUCUCCACCCCCAUCAUUCUGCCCGGACGCUGAGGUCCAGCGCCGAGGGCCUUCUGGCGGUUCCCUCAUUGCGAGAAGCAAAGCUACAGGGAACCAGGCAGAGGGCCUUCUCGGUGGUGGCACCUGCCCUGUGGAACGCCCUCCCAUCAGAUGUCAAAGAGAUGAACAACUACCUAACAUUUAGAAGACAUCUGAAGGCAGCCCUGUUCAGGGAAGUUUUUAAUGUGUGACACUUUAAUGUAUUUUUAAUCUUUGCUGCAAGCCGCCCAGAGUGGCUGGGGAAACCCAGCCAGAUGGGAGCGGGGUACAAAUAAUAAAUUAUUAUUAUUAUAAAUGGCAGGGAGAGCCAACUGUAAUUCUAGUUUUGUCCCCAUUUUCCUGAGUUCUACAGCACAUCACUGAGCCCGAGAAGGAGGAAGCUGAUUGGCAGGGCAGGGCACCAAUUGCCCUAAUGGAACAGCCUCCGCUGGCAGAAAGAGGUGGGUCAAUGGCAGCCUGGAGGCAACUGGAAGGUCAGGAGAAGAGUUAAGAGUAUGAAGAGGAAUGGGCAGAGCCUGUCAUGUGGCAGGUUGAACUUGGCAGAACCGGAGCCUGCAAAGUCCAGAGUCGACCGGCCCCUUUGGAGACCAGUAUUGGCUACAAAGGGUAGAACAGUGCUCCUGACGUGCCUUGCAACCCUGCAAAGUUAACAGCUCUCUUCCAAAAUUGCGUCCCCCUCUCAGCUGCUGUCUGCAAGCAAGGAACAAAAGCACUGCUAAGGCUACAAUUGGAUGUGAUUAGUCCGUGGAAGGAAGGGCCUUUAUUUAAAGCACUUGCUGUAGAAAGAGAAAGAUGAAAGCCUGCUUCCCAGGAUAAUCUUCCCUGCAUCUACGUUCUGGUACGUCCUGAACCUAGUGAGGCUUAAAAUUUGCUAGUUUUCCGGACCAAUAACUCAGACUUUGAAUCCAAAGACUGCUAUUUGGGGUCAGGAGUCUUUUCUUUAUUUCUUCCAGGGAAUUCAUAUUGAUCUCUUGUUUAAAUACUUCCCUAGUUACUUCCUAAACAGCCCAUUUUCCCUUGUGCACAAUAAGAAGAGCAAGGCAGACAAAGCAGCAUUCUGUGUUCUCUUCUGUCCAGAGAUCUGACCACCCUUUAUGUGCUACUGCAGAACUACAAAAUGUAAUAAGUAAUGCUGGAGUUUUUUCUAGUUCAACUGUGAUAAUAAGAAAUGUACCUUAAGCUAUAGGUGCAGCUGUAGCCUAGGAGCCUUAUGGAUGCACCCAGAAUACGCAGUGGCCUCGUGUUGCUACCAAGGCUGCAAACAAUAAGUUCACAUAGCUUUGUGUGUGACUGAAGCUCUUUGUGUGGGUUAUCUUGUAAUCCUCCAGACCCCCCUGUUUGGUAAGACACGUAGCAAGCAUAUAUGGGGGCUGGGUGAGGCUGAGAAAUGUUUAGUAGGAAGGGACCCCUUAAUCCAACCACCUGCUCUAUGCUGAAUGCAUCUCCUGUACCCCGGACAGAUGGCCAUCCAUCCUCUGCUUAAAUGCAAAUAAGAGUCUACCAUCUCCCAGUCAGUCCAGUGCUGAACAUCUGUUACCAUUUGGAAGGCUAUCCUAACACUUAGCUGGAACCAGCUUGUCUUCAAUAUGGUUCUAGUCCUGAUUUCUAGAGCGACAGGGAAAACAAGUCUGCUCCAUCUUCUGUGUGAUAGCCCUGCAGAUUGUCUCCCCUUAAUCUUCUCCAGUCCUACCUCUCCUAUUUCCACCAUUCAUAGAACAUUGGUUUCCAAACCCCUUAUCAUUCUGGUUGCCCUCUUCUGGACAUCCUUGACUUCGUCAGUGUCCUUUCUAAAAUGUGGCACUCAGGGCUUUAGAUGUGGCCCAGCCACCACAGAACAUAGCGUAACUAUUGCUUCGCCUGAUCUUGGAAUUACGCUUGUGUUAACGAAACGUAAGACUGCCCCUCUAUGAUCAUCACUGCUGGUUCACAAGCUGAUCCAUGAAGACUCCUAAAUACUUUUCACAUGUACUGCUUCCAAGCCAGGUUUCUUUCCCCAAUUCCACCUCACCUAUUAAUUUUUUGUUACAUUUAUCCCUGCUGAAUUUCAUCUUGUUGGUUUUGGCUCAAUAGUUCAGGUUGUUGAGAUGGUUUGGAAUCUUUUGUUCUUGAUGCGAUUCUUCCCAGCGUUGUGUCAACUGAAAAGUUGAUAAGCAGCCCCCUGACAAAUCCCAAAAUAGUGCCUUCCAGAGAUUUUUGUGGACUACAAUUCCCAUCAUCCUCAACUAUAGGGAUGAUGGAAGCUGUAUUCCACAAAACUGGGCGGGGGGGGGGGAGCGGCGGCAUUAUACUCACUAACCAAUAUUUUCUCUUCUCACAACAGGCUAACUGGUUUGAAAUGACUCACACUAUUUUAAUGGAUCUUGGGAGAAAAGCAAUGACAAGCCUAGACAGCAUCUUAAAAAGCAGAGACAUCACCUUGCCAACAAAGGUCCGUAUAGUUAAAGCUAUGGUUUUCCCAGUAGUGAUGUAUGGAAGUGAGAGCUGGACCAUAAAGAAGGCUGGUCACCAAAAAAAUUGAUGCUUUUGAAUUCUGGUGCUGGAGGAGACUCUUGAGAGUCCCAUGGACUGCAAGAAGAUCAAACCUAUCCAUUCUGAAGGCAAUCAACCCUGAGUGCUCACUGGAAGAACAGAUCCUGAAGCUGAGGCUCCAAUACUUUGGCCACCUCAUGAGAAGAGAAUGGAAAAGACCCUGAUGUUGGGAAAGAUGGAGGGCACAAGGAGAAGGGGACGACAGAGGACGAGAUGGUUGGACAGUGUUCUCGAAGCUACCAGCAUGAGUUUGACCAAACAGCGGGAGGCAGUGGAAGACAGGAGUGCCUGGCGUGCUCUGGUCCAUGGGGUCACGAAGAGUCGGACACGACUAAACGACUAAACAACAACAACAAAUUUUAAUGGAAGUGCAGAAUCAUUAAGGAGGUGGGCUCAUCCUCUCGGUAGAUUUUUGGCUCAUAGAACCACUUAAAUCAGAUAGAGUUUAUUUCAUCACUGAUCCUAUACUCUGCUUAAGGAAGAAGUUUCCAUCUCUAAUUCCUAUAACUAUGUAAGUUGCCCCUUUGGUUCCUUUUGCCUCCUCGGAACCAUCCUUUCCAGGUAACCAAAGAUGAGCCCUGUCAAGACUUUCACACUCUCAGAACAUCUUUCUUGUAAGAACUCUGCACAUGUUCUGAAACCUAAGACUACAGUCUUAGCCUGUCAAGGUUCCCCCACUCUCCUAGCGAAUCCUCCUCAAAAAGGACCAGUCUAGAAAGGCUCUCCCCACACCUUGCUAAAUUCACCCAAGCUUCCUACCUCCCUGAAUGGUGAUUGUUUAUCUAGCACCUUCCAUUCGCAUGGUGGUUUACUGAGUACAAUAAGACAGUUACCUGCCCGAAGGAGCUUACAGUCUAAACUCCAGCACAGGAGAAAUAGAGGCAAAGGAAGGUAAAGAAUACAUGGUUGUUGCAGGUGCUUAGGCUUAUUUACGCACCAGGCUAAAUGAGCAAGAUUCAAACCCAAUGCCCUCCAGAUUCAUAGCUCAGCUUCUUAGCCACUGUAUUACACCAGCUCUCAAACCAAUUUAAACUGGCUUCCGAUGUCGUGACCACUGUUAUUGUCCUACAACAGCCAUCCUCCUUCACCAUUGGCUGUGCUGUCCAGGGCUGAUGGGAUUUGUAAUAAUAAAAUAAUUAUUAUUAGUGCCACAGGGCAACAGCACCACAUUUACUGCUCCCUCGUUAGCAUAUAAAAGCAGCGGACAACCACCCGUAUAUCAGCAAAUUACUUGCAAGUGUGGUUUUUCUUAAAGUGAUCCUGCUGUCUUCAUUCUGAUUCUGGUUAGAACACUCUUACUUUGGGGGUGUCAAAUGGGGCAGAAGAUGCACCACAGCCAUCCAAGUUUCUUAGAGCACAUUCUCUUUUUCUAACUCCCAAUACAGCUGCCGAAGAGUAACACUGAAGAUGGCGAAGACGUCAUCUGGUGAGAAGGAUGCAUACAUUGGAUGCUGACGGAGGGGUUUUGUUUCACAGUGCAAACAUGUUUUAAGCAUAAGAUAACCAAAGAUACAGCAGGCCAGCAAAGGAAGCUUUUUAAAAAAAAUUAUUACCCUAUGAUGAAAAACCAGGCAGCUUUAUUACACCAGUGUGUGGUGAUAUAGAAGAGAUUUUGAAUUGCAGUACUGCACAGAAAAUGCCAAUCCAAGGUUUUUGUGCACCUCUAAAUUUUGAGCUUGUUAUCCUUUGGGAUCAAUAGAACAAUAGCUGCCUGUAAGCAUUAAAACACUGCUCACACAAAUGCCCCAAGUUACACACACACCCUUUCCUUGCUUUCCCAAAUGCAUAGUUUUGUCUUUAGCUUUGUUUCGGAUCAGCAAACCGCCGUGGAUGUUUUAAAGAAGCAAUUCCUACCUGAAUAUUGAUCAUGCAGCCAUUCCAGUUAAACCCAGCAGCCGGUAAGGUGACCGGAAAGGGGAAUGGGAAGAGAAGGGCCGAGAGACUUUCCCUAAAUGAAAAGGAAUCCUCCGCUCUUCAUUCUUGCUGUGUCCAUAGCUGCAGGGCAUCUGUCCCAAGUCGCUGGUUUAAGCUGCAGCUUUUGAUAUUCAUGAUUGGUUUCAUAAUCCCGAUCAAAAAAGGGAAAUCGCUAGGAUUAUGAAAUUGUUUUAAUCCACCUCUGCCCCAUCCAUGGCUGUUGACUUCAGCAUCACCUUUGUUGUCGUCUUUAAGUGCUCGCCUAAGCAGAAACUCCUUUAUAGAAGUCCUGGUAAAGUGUACUAGAAACGCAAGGCCUGUUUUUCCCCCUUUCCUUUCCUCCCCCCCCUUUCCCCCCCUUUUCUUUUUUUUUGGGCUAACCGCUGUAGCAGCAGAAUGGAAUGUUUCAAUUUCCGGUAUACUCUGCCCAUUUUGCAAAUCUCAUCAGGCUAAAGAAAACCAAGGGCUGAUUUGUGACUGGAGUUUGCACAGAGACUAUUUUUGACAGAGGACAUGUGCGACCGGCUAAUGGGGAAGAUUACAACCAUGUUCAGAGGAGUUGUCGCUGUGUAAUUUAAAGCUGGCAUGGAUAAGAUGGUUAGUUAGAUGUCCUAAUUUUUGCUGCUGCUGCUGUUUGAAUAAAGCAAGCAUUUGGUCUUGCAGUGCAUGCACUGUGACUUUAUGCAGCGCUGAAACGUACUCAAGGGAAAAGGACAAUUGUCUCCAUGGGCACAUCCACACACACACGCCUUCUGCUGAAUGUUAUUAUCCUUCUCACUCCCCUUUUAUCAGAAUAAGGGGCAGCAGCACACAACCCACAACUUUCAGAAUUUUAUAAUUUGGCAUCCACAGUGUUUCAUCCACACCAGCGGGCCAUUCAUAUGACCGAGUAUGCCUAUUUUACUUAUGCCUAUAACCACCACUUUAUAUACUGCCCUAUACCCGGAGGUCUCAGAGUGGUUCACAGAAUAAAAUUGAAAUACAAAACCACAAAAUACAUAAUCAAAAUAAAAACAAUAACCACCCCACCCAAAAACCCCACAUUUUAAAAGGGCAUAGGAUCCUCACAACAUUUAAAGUAACAAACCUGGACAAGAGCCACUCGUUGGAAAGACCAUGAUUUCAGAAAUGUCUGUAGCAAUAUUUACUGGCAACCAAAUUGGCCGGGUGCCUUUCUGAUAACAAAGACAAAAAUAGAUUUGAAAGAAGAGUGGGAGGGGAGAAAUUAGCUUUGGUUGUUGAGCAGAUGUAAUAUUAGUGCUUCGUGUUCUGCAAGGGAAAGACCUGUAUCUAACGUUGCAAACGAGUCCUCUUUGCGGAGUUCCAUCUUCUUUCUUCUUGGCGCUGUUUCUACCACUGAUGCGCUUCCACCAGAACGUUGUUUGUCGAUUCCAGGGCCACCAUGGCUUUCUGGCUCAGCCUCUUGGUCAGAGUCUGUAUAUCUGUCAGGGUCUGGAAGGAAGCUUGGAUCAAAUUCAUCAUCACUUUCACUGCAUCUUAUUUAUAUAGUAGAUUUAAAAAAAAACAUGGCCAGAUCUUCUGCAGCAGCAACACCUUGGGGCGUUUUGUAGCUCUGCUCUCCUUUCCCUUGACAGGUGCAGCAGGCUGAGCAGGGCAUUUGGGACUGUUGAGGGGAAGGACAAAGAGCUGCCUUGGCCAAUGGUAUAAUAAGAUCUGGAGAAGCACAGAGGAGGAAACUUCUCCUGGGGAACAACAGGUCCAGCGACUGAGGAGUUAACACACUUCCCACCCACCUCCACCCCCGUACUGCCUUGCAGUGGGGCAGUGGUGCUGGUUCCUGGGAGUAGGGGAAAGGAAGAGAAGUAGAAAUUGGGGGGGGGGACACCUCAUUUCACUCCGAAGGCCUUUGAUCCCUCCUCUGUUUCUUUGCAAGGUUCACAAAUGACUCAGCUGGGGUAUAAAACUGCCAGGAACUGUUUUUUCAUCAUCAUCUUAAUGGCCCUGGAACUUGCAGAC
rnacentral:lncRNA from 1 species